UAAUACGGAGGAUCCGAGCGUUAUCCGGAUUUAUUGGGUUUAAAGGGAGCGUAGGUGGAUUGUUAAGUCAGUUGUGAAAGUUUGCGGCUCAACCGUAAAAUUGCAGUUGAAACUGGCAGUCUUGAGUACAGUAGAGGUGGGCGGAAUUCGUGGUGUAGCGGUGAAAUGCUUAGAUAUCACGAAGAACUCCGAUUGCGAAGGCAGCUCACUAGACUGCAACUGACACUGAUGCUCGAAAGUGUGGGUAUCAAACAGGAUUAGAUACCCUGGUAGUCCACACAGUAAACGAUGAAUACUCGCUGUUUGCGAUAUACAGUAAGCGGCCAAGCGAAAGCGUUAAGUAUUCCACCUGGGGAGUACGCCGGCAACGGUGAAACUCAAAGGAAUUGACGGGGGCCCGCACAAGCGGAGGAACAUGUGGUUUAAUUCGAUGAUACGCGAGGAACCUUACCCGGGCUUAAAUUGCAGAUGAAUUACGGUGAAAGCCGUAAGCCGCAAGGCAUCUGUGAAGGUGCUGCAUGGUUGUCGUCAGCUCGUGCCGUGAGGUGUCGGCUUAAGUGCCAUAACGAGCGCAACCCUUGUUGUCAGUUACUAACAGGUUCCGCUGAGGACUCUGACAAGACUGCCAUCGUAAGAUGUGAGGAAGGUGGGGAUGACGUCAAAUCAGCACGGCCCUUACGUCCGGGGCUACACA
rnacentral:rRNA from 1 species